ensembl:lncRNA
GGGUCAGGGUUAGGGUUAGGGUGAGGUUACACUGAUUUAAAGGGUGAGUGUGUGUGUGAGGUUACACUGAUUUAAAGGGUGAGUGUGUGUGUGAGGUUACACUGAUUUAAAGGGUGAGUGUGAGUGUGUGUGUGAGGUUACACUGAUUUAAAGGGUGAGUGUGAGGUGGUCCACUGAGGCACUUAGAUGUUUCACACUUCUGUGUGUCGUCCUUGAUGAGUGUGUGCGAGAGAGAGAGUGUGUAUGUGUGUGUACAGGAGAUUUUAGCUUUGUGUGUGUGUGAGAGAGAGAAAAAGAGAAGGAGAGAGAGAGUGAGUGUGUGUUUGCACUUUUUGAAGUAUGAUCGGAACAUGAUAUGGUAUAACAUGAU